rnacentral:rRNA from 1 species
AUGAUGUUCUCCAGCCAGGUGGACGCCUUCUCGCCGUCGCAGUUCACCGCGUCGCAGAACGCCGCCGCCGACUCCACCCCCAACAAGUUCCGGGGCGCGUUGGGAACGAUGCCGCUGACCGUGAAGCAGAUCGCGGACGCGCGGCUGGCCGGCGCCGGCGAGAAGGGAGCGCCCUUCGUCGUCGACGGCGUCGAGACGGCCAACGUCAGGCUCGUGGGGAUGGUGAGCGGCAAGGCGGAGCGGAACACGGACGUCUCCUUCACCCUCGACGACGGCACCGGCCGCAUCGACUUCAUCAGAUGGGUGAAUGAUGCUGCAGAUUCUGCUGAAACUGCUGCUAUUCAGAAUGGUAUGUACGUUGCUGUCAUCGGUAGCCUGAAGGGAGUUCAGGACAAGAAGCGUGCUACUGCUUUCGCAGUCAGACCUAUAACUGAUUACAACGAGGUCACGCUGCAUUUCAUUCAGUGCGUGCGGAUGCACAUAGAGAACACAAAAUCAAAGGUUGGCAGUCCCGCGCACACCAAUUCUUCUGUGGGAACCCCAUUCGCCAACAGAUUGAGCGAAGCGGCUACUCCACCCUCUGUGAAGUCCAACCCGGCGCCAGCGACUAGCGGAACAAACGGAUCGGAGACCGAUUUCUACACGCAGGUGCUGAAUGUCUUCCGCGAACCGGCAAACAUCGAGAGUGACCAUGGCGUGCAUGUGGAUGACAUUGCCAAGCGGUUCAGACUACCAGCACUCAAGAUCAAGGAGGCUAUCGACUACCAUGUCGAUGUCGGGCACAUCUACUCGACCAUCGAUGAUUUCCACUACAAGUCAGCGUUCGUUGACUGA